rnacentral:rRNA from 1 species
GAUUAACGCUGGCGGCGUGCAUAACACAUGCAAGUCGAACGAUGAAACUUUAAUGAACCCUUCGGGGAGAAUUAAAGCGGAUUAGUGGCGAACGGGUGAGUAACGCGUGAGUAACCUGCCUUACACAAGGGGAUAGCCUUUGGAAACGAAGAAUAAUACCCUAUAAAACCAUAAAGGCACAUGCAAUUAUGGUCAAAGUAUUAGCGGUGUAAGAUGGACUUGCGUCUGAUUAGCUAGUUG